rnacentral:rRNA from 1 species
GGUUAAAAAGCUCGUAGUUGGAUCUCGGCGGACUGAGGGCGGUUUGCUUGCUAGUAUUACUGCCCUAUAGUCCGUAGUUUUGCCAGAGGUUUCGGGGUGCUCUUAAUCGAGUGUCCCGGGAUGCUGGCAGGUUUACUUUGAAAAAAUUAGAGUGCUCAAAGCAGGCUAUUACGCCUGAAUAUUCGUGCAUGGAAUAAUAGAAUAGGAAGUCGUUUCUAUUUUGUUGGUUUUCGGAAAUCGACUUAAUGAUUAAUAGGGACAGUCGGGGGCAUUUGUAUUCAAACGACAGAGGUGAAAUUCUUGGACCGUUUGAAGACAAACUACUGCGAAAGCAUUUGCCAAGAAUGUUUUCAUUAAUCAAGAACGAAAGUUAAAGGUUCGAAGGCGAUUAGAUACCGCCCUAGUUUUAACCAUAAACGAUGCCAGCUAGCGAUCUGCGGACGUUUUUUUUGUAGACUCCGCAGGAAGCUUCCGGGAAACCAAAGCAUUUGGGUUCCAGGGGAAGUAUGGUUGCAAAGCUGAAACUUAAAGGAAUUGACGGAAGGGCACCACCAGGAGUGGAGCCUGUGGCUUAAUUUGACUCAACACGGGAAAUCUCACCAGGCCCGGACACUGGGAAGGAUUGACA